rnacentral:rRNA from 1 species
CCUGCGAAGGCAAGCGGAUCUCUUAAAGCUGUUCUCAGUUCGGACUGCAGUCUGCAACUCGACUGCACGAAGCUGGAAUCGCUAGUAAUCGCGGAUCAGCAUGCCGCGGUGAAUACGUUCCCGGGCCUUGUACACACCGCCCGUCACACCAUGGGAGCCGGUAAUACCCGAAGUCAGUAGUCCAACCACGUGAGGACGCUGCCGAAGGUAGGAUUGGCGACUGGGGUGAAGUCGUAACAAGGUAUC